rnacentral:rRNA from 1 species
UACGGAGGGGGCAAGCGUUGUCCGGAUUCAUUGGGCGUAAAGAGCUCGUAGGCGGCUUGGCAAGUCGGGUGUGAAAACUCCAGGCUCAACCUGGAGACGCCACCCGAUACUGCCAUGGCUUGAGUCCGGUAGGGGACCACGGAAUUCCUGGUGUAGCGGUGAAAUGCGCAGAUAUCAGGAGGAACACCGGUGGCGAAGGCGGUGGUCUGGGCCGGUACUGACGCUGAGGAGCGAAAGCGUGGGGAGCGAACAGG